CAGCCGCCAGAGCCUGAGCUGCCGGAGUGGGGACCACCCCGCAGGUACAGAGCGGGCGGCGUGAACCCGGGGCCGCAGGGAGCGCUCCAGACCCAUCUUCCAGGGACUGUGCGAGGCGCUGAGCCUGGUGUUGGCGCGCGGCCGGGCACAGGUGCCUUAUGUAUGUAGCCGGUGGAAAGGAAGGCCUUGUCGAGAACCGGAAGAAUGAGAACAUGAGCAGAAUCAGAAUAGCGUUUCCAAUACCGGAUAUCUCAGACUUCUGCUUGGCGUGCUUCUUCCCAUCGUCCCUUUCCUGAGGUGCAGGGGGAGAGGCUUGGCUUGGCUACUGAGGAACCAGAUAAAGCACAAAGGCUCCUGACACUUUUUGCACUCCAGCUUGCAGGUUUGAAGACCGGACUGGAGAAAACAGAAAAGAUUGAUGAAGCAGGAGUGAGAUGUACCUGUCACAUGCAAAGCGAGGCGGGCGUUGGCGGUGGAGUAAUUGGCCCUUUGUGCUGAGACGUGGUCGUGUCACAGGCGGAAGGCCGGGUGCUGGCCCUUUGCUAAGACCAGCGGUAUCUCAGGACUUCAGAAUGUUUCGCUUUCCAUGGUGUCGGUCACCUGGGAUCUACUGCGGUCUGGAAGCCGAUGAUGGUCCUUCUGAUGCCUCGUGGGGUCACUAGCAGCCUGACGCGACAUCACACACCUGCAUCGUUCACCUCACUUCUCACGCGGGCAUCUCGUCAUCCACACCAUCAUUAUAAGA